rnacentral:rRNA from 1 species
AUUGAACGCUGGCGGCAGGCCUAACACAUGCAAGUCGAACGAGUGGCGGACGGGUGAGGAAUGUCUGGGAAACUGCCCGAUGGAGGGGGAUAACUACUGGAAACGGUAGCUAAUACCGCAUACCAUCGGAUGUGCCCAGAUGGGAUUAGCUAGUAGGUGGGGUAACGGCGCACCUAGGCGACUAUCCCUAGCUGGUCUCAGAGGAGGACCAGCCACACUGGAACUGAGCCACGGUCCAGACUCCUACGGGAGGCAGCAGUGGGGAAUUUUGCACAAUGGGCGCAAGCCUGAUGCAGCCAUGCCGCGUGUAUGAAGAAGGCCUUCGGGUUUUGAAGUACUUUCAGCGAGGAGGCGUUGCUCGCAGAAGAAGCACCGGCUAACUCCGUGCCAGCAGCCGCGGUAAUUC